rnacentral:rRNA from 1 species
GAGAGGACCGGAGUGGACGCAUCACUGGUGUUCGGGUUGUCAUGCCAAUGGCACUGCCCGGUAGCUAAAUGCGGAAGAGAUAAGUGCUGAAAGCAUCUAAGCACGAAACUUGCCCCGAGAUGAGUUCUCCCUGACUCCUUGAGGGUCCUGAAGGAACGUUGAAGACGACGACGUUGAUAGGCCGGGUGUGUAAGCGCAGCGAUGCGUUGAGCUAACCGGUACUAAUGAACCGUGAGGCUUAACCUUACAACGCCGAAG